rnacentral:lncRNA from 1 species
UAGAAAGGAGAAAGACGAAGCAGCGAAGAAAAUAAGGCAGGUUAUUCUGAGACAUUUCUCAGCAUCCGAGCGUGUCACCUUCGAAACCGAGCCACUUUCCACACGUGGACGUCGUCUCGCAGCCUGAUUCGCAUCGAUCGCUAACGAGGAAUCGUUGGCCACGAUCCCGAAUCGGUUCGCGCAUAUCGCCACCAAACGGGCAACUUCGGAAACGUUUCCAACCAAUGGCCUUCGCCAAGAGGACACGACUGGGUCCCUCGAUCCGCCUUUUAAAAAUAAGCCGAUCGCAGCUCUACAUUACUCGAGUCAAGUGGCUGUUGGUGUGAAGAAAAUAUUUAGGAGCCUGGAUAGUCGCCACGUGUCCCCACUCCAAAUCUAGCAAUGGGCCUUGUCUUCUACAG